GCCAGCAGCCGCGGUAAUACAGAGGGUGCAAGCGUUAUUCGGAAUUACUGGGCGUAAAGCGCGCGUAGGCGGAUAAUUAAGUCAGUUGUGAAAGCCCUGGGCUCAACCUAGGAACUGCAUCUGAUACUGAUUGUCUAGAGUUUAAGAGAGGGAAGUGGAAUUCCAGGUGUAGCAGUGAAAUGCGUAGAUAUCUGGAGGAACAUCAGUGGCGAAGGCGACUUCCUGGCUUAAAACUGACGCUGAGGUGCGAAAGCGUGGGUAGCGAACGGGAUUAGAUACCCCGGUAGUCCACGCCGUAAACGAUGUCAACUAGUUGUUGGUCUUAUUAAAAAGAUUAGUAACGAAGCUAACGCGAUAAGUUGACCGCCUGGGGAGUACGGUCGCAAGAUUAAAACUCAAAGGAAUUGAC
rnacentral:rRNA from 1 species